GAAAAUUGCGGCGUGCUAAUACAUGCAGUCGAGCGAAUGACGAGGAGCUUGCUCCUCUGAUUUAGCGGCGGACGGGUGAGUAACACGUGGGCAACCUGCCCUGUAGACUGGGAUAACUUCGGGAAACCGGAGCUAAUACCGGAUAAUCCAUUUCACCUCAUGGUGAAAUGUUGAAAGGCGCUUUCGGGCGUCACUACAGGAUGGGCCCGCGGUGCAUUAGCUAGUUGGUGGGGUAACGGCCUACCAAGGCGACGAUGCAUAGCCGACCUGAGAGGGUGAUCGGCCACAUUGGGACUGAGACACGGCCCAAACUCCUACGGGAGGCAGCAGUAGGGAAUCUUCCACAAUGGACGAAAGUCUGAUGGAGCAACGCCGCGUGAGUGAUGAAGGUUUUCGGAUCGUAAAACUCUGUUGUAAGGGAAGAACAAGUACGUUAGGAAAUGAACGUACCUUGACGGUACCUUAUUAGAAAGCCACGGCUAACUACGUGCCAGCAGCCGCGGUAAUACGUAGGUGGCAAGCGUUGUCCGGAUUUAUUGGGCGUAAAGCGCGCGCAGGCGGUUUCUUAAGUCUGAUGUGAAAGCCCACGGCUUAACCGUGGAGGGUCAUUGGAAACUGGGAGACUUGAGUGCAGAAGAGGAAAGUGGAAUUCCAAGUGUAGCGGUGAAAUGCGUAGAGAUUUGGAGGAACACCAGUGGCGAAGGCGACUUUCUGGUCUGCAACUGACGCUGAGGCGCGAAAGCAUGGGGAGCAAACAGGAUUAGAUACCCUGGUAGUCCAUGCCGUAAACGAUGAGUGCU
rnacentral:rRNA from 1 species